rnacentral:lncRNA from 10 species
GACACAAUUUAGCCCCUCUGAGUUCAGGUUUUCUAGGUAGUGUCAAUUCCUCCAUUAGCUUGGAUUUGAUCAGGUUUGUGACUUCUCACCAUUCUGCAGAUUAUGGCAUAAAUGAUAAAAGUAGCUUCUCCUGCCUACCCGAUACAGUGAAAUGGAAUAAAAAUCAAACCAAAAACGGGGAAAGAAGUGCCUACAUUGAUAACUGGUACAGAUUAUAUAAUAGCAUAUCUCGCUGAGCAAGCUUAGCAGGAUGAAUGAUAGAAACAAUGGGUCUCAUGAGCAUUCUCUUUGUUGCCUCACUUCUCUGGAUGUAGAAUAAAUUGUUGGAACCACCUUCAGAAAAGGCACCAAGGGAGGAUUUCCUACUGGUGCUUGUGGUGGUGAUGGCAGGCAGGUGUUUGAGGAGAUGCUAGUGAAUGGCUUUGAUCCUGGCACUUGUGGUGGUGAUGGCAGGCAGGUGUUUGAGGAGAUGCUAGUGAAUGGCUUUGAUCCUGGCACUUCAAUGUUGGGGCUUGGUUUAGGGUCUACCAUAAUGCUGGACGGUCACAGGUCUCUGUACAACAGGCUAGGGACUUUUUUUGACAGUACAACUUCCCUAAAACUGUAACUAAUUUCUUCACAGUUGUAUUUAGGAUCUUGUAUCCAAUGCCAGAAAUCUUGUCUUGUUCUCAAUUUGCUAAAGGAAUAGACAUGGUCCACACAACCUUUAGGCCUUUUGUUUGUUUGUUCUUUUUUCGCAUUUUGUCAAGAGGAUCUUUCUAUGACUCUAACUCAGCCACAUAGAGUUUGCCUCUGGAAUAGUUAGGAGUCUUUCUUUAAUCUUCCCUUGAGUGUCACCCUUGUCCUUUCAUUGCAUUUCAGACCAGCGCAUUUAGCAAUAGAAAAAGGCACCUUCAUUUUUGUUUGUAAGAUCCAGCAUGGUGGCGUGGACCUGUAGUCCCAGCUACUCGGGAGACUGAGGUGGAGAGGAUUGCUUGACCCCAAAGGGUAAAGGCUGUAGUAAGCCAUGAUCAUGCCACUGCACUCCAGAAUGGGCAACAGAGCUAGACCCUGUCUCAAAAAAAAAAUUAUUGCCAUAAUAUUUGUAACAUUCUUUCAUUACAUUUUUAAUCUCUACUGUAACUGUUGUUGUGCCCAUCUAAUUUUGAACCAUAUUUGUAUCUUUCUAUUAUUUUCUUUAAAAAUAUUGUUGGAUGUUUUUCAAAAAAAUGAUUCAUCUUUGUUGAUCUACUUUAGG